rnacentral:lncRNA from 10 species
GGACAUCUGGGGAAUUGGCUUCCUAUGUUCCUGCAGUUCUCAAUGGAAAAUAUUUGCUGGACUAAGCCAAAUGGGUGAGUGAUUGUCUAUUACUCUGAAACCAAGCGUCUGGGAAAUAAUGGAAACUUCUGAGGCUGUAUCAGAGACUGAAGUCAAGCGGUUGAUUCUACAGAACUUUGUCCUACUUCACUCAGGGGUCUCCCAGGCGACUGCUGCUUCUUUACACAUACACUAUCUUGCUUUGGCUACUCAGCAGAAUUGAAGUCACUGCCUUGACAGGCUGGAACUAGAUUUCCUCACUACCUGCAUACUCUGCAAAUGACAUUUUUCAUGAAAUAGAUUCCCUUCUCAGUGAUUUGGGUCCUGGACUCCUGGGAGCUGCUAUUCAUAGAAGAUUGAGCAAAAGCCUUUUUCAAAUGCAUUAGCACACAUUUUCUUUCAAAAUAGAAAGAUGCUUAGAAAUGUUACAAUAAUUAAAAUUUAAUUGUGUAACGAAAGGUGGUAACUAUCUUUUUAAUUAAACAGAUUUGAUUAGGUACCACCAUAGGAAAUUAAUUGUUAUAGUUACUGAGAUACAAAAAAGAAAAAAAAACGGAAUAAAAGAAAG